AGAGCGAACGCUGGCGGCAGGCUUAACACAUGCAAGUCGAGCGGGCGUAGCAAUACGUCAGCGGCAGACGGGUGAGUAACGCGUGGGAACAUACCUUUUGGUUCGGAACAACACAGGGAAACUUGUGCUAAUACCGGAUAAGCCCUUACGGGGAAAGAUUUAUCGCCGAAAGAUUGGCCCGCGUCUGAUUAGCUAGUUGGUGAGGUAACGGCUCACCAAGGCGACGAUCAGUAGCUGGUCUGAGAGGAUGAUCAGCCACAUUGGGACUGAGACACGGCCCAAAACUCCUACGGGAGGCAGCAGUGGGGAAUAUUGGACAAUGGGCGCAAGCCUGAUCCAGCCAUGCCGCGUGAGUGAUGAAGGCCCUAGGUUGUAAAGCUCUUUGUGCGGGAAGAUAAAUGACGGUACCGCAAGAAUAAGCCCCGGACUAACCGUUCGCGCCAGCAGCCGC
rnacentral:rRNA from 1 species